AUGAAGUGGACCUUAGAAAGCAUCACUAUGAACAAAGUUAGUGGAGGUGAUGGAAUUCCAGCUGAGCUCUUUCAAAUCCCGGUAGAUGAUGCUGUGAAAGUGCUGCACUCAAUAUGCCGGCAAAUUUGGAAAACUCAGCAGUGGCCACAGGACUGGAAAAGGUCAGUUUUCAUUCCAAUCCCAAAGAAAGGCAAUGCCAAAGAAUGCUCAAACUACCGCACAAUUGCACUCAUCUCACAUGCUAGUAAAGGAAUGCUCAAAAUUCUCCAAGCCAGGCUUCAGCAAUACGUGAACCAUGAACUUCCAGAUGUUCAAGCUGGUUUUAGAAAAGGCAGAGGAACCAGAGAUGAAAUUGCCAACAUCCUCUGGAUCAUGGAAAAAGCAAGAGAGCUCCAGAAAAACAUCUAUUUCUGUUUUAUUGACUACACCAAAGCCUUUGACUGUGUGGAUCACAAUAAACUGUGGAAAAUUCUGAAAGAAAUGGGAAUACCAGACCACCUGACCUGCCUCUUGAGAAAUCUGUAUGCAGGUCAGGAAGCAACAGUUAGAACUGGACAUGGAACAACAGACUGGUUCCAAAUAGGAAGAGGAGUACGUCAAGGCUGUAUAUUGUCACCCUGCUUAUUUAACUUCUAUGCAGAGUUUAUCAUGAGAAACGCUGGGCUGGAAGAGGCACAAGCUGGAAUCAAGAUUGCCGGGAGAAAUAUCAAUAACCUCAGAUAUGCAGAUGAUACCAUCCUUAUGGCAGAAAGUGAAGAGGAACUAAAAAGCCUCUUGAUGAAAGUGAAAGAGGAGAGUGAAAAAGUUGGCUUAAAGCUCAGCAUUCCAAAAAUGAAGACCAUGGCAUCUGGUCCCAUCACUUCAUGGCAAAUAGAUGGGGAAACAGUGGAAACAGUGUCAGGCUUUAUUUUUCUGGGUUCCAAAAUCACUGCAGAUGGUGAUUGCAGCCUUGAAAUUAAAAGAUGCUUGCUCCUUGGAAGGAAAGUUAUGACCAACCUAGAUAGCAUAUUUAAAAGCAGAGACAUUACUUUGCCAACAAAGGUCCGUCUAGUCAAGGCUAUGGAUUUUCCAGCGGUUGUGUAUGGAUGUGAGAGUUGGACUAUGGAAAAAGCUGAGAGCCAAAGAAUUGAUACUUCUGAACUGUGGUGUUGGAGAAGACUCUUGAGAGUCCCUUGGACUGCAAGGAGAUCCAACCAGUCCAUCCUAAAGGAGACCAGUCCUGGGUGUUCAUUGGAAGGACCGAUGCUGAAGCUGAAACUCCAAUAUUUUGGCCACCUCAUGCAAAGAGUUGACUCAUUGGAAAAGACCCUGAUGCUGGGAAGGAUUAGGGGCAGGAGGAGAAGGGGAUGA
rnacentral:lncRNA from 1 species